UUAUAUUUGAGAGUUUGAUCCUGGCUCAGGAUGAACGCUGGCGGCGUGCCUAACACAUGCAAGUCGAGCGAUCUCUUCGGAGAGAGCGGCGGACGGGUGAGUAACGCGUGGGUAACCUGCCCUGUACACACGGAUAACAUACCGAAAGGUAUACUAAUACGGGAUAACAUAUAAAAGUCGCAUGGCUUUUGUAUCAAAGCUCCGGCGGUACAGGAUGGACCCGCGUCUGAUUAGCUAG
rnacentral:rRNA from 1 species